rnacentral:rRNA from 1 species
AAUCAACGCUGGCGGCGGGCUUCACACAUGCAAGUCGAACGCGAAAGGGGCCUUCGGGUCCUGAGUAGAGUGGCGAACGGGUGCGUAACGCGUAGGCAACCUGCCCCUGGGUGGGGAAUAACCACGGGAAACCGUGGCUAAUACCGCAUGUUGUCUCGUCCUCGCAUGGGGAAGAGAUGAAAGCUUUCGGGUGCCCGGGGAUGGGCCUGCGUCGGAUUAGGUUGUUGGUGAGGUAACAGCUCACCAAGCCUGCGAUCCGUAGCUGGUCUGAGAGGAUGAUCAGCCACACUGGCACUGAGACACGGGCCAGACUCCUACGGGAGGCAGCAGUGAGGAAUAUUGCGCAAUGGGCGAAAGCCUGACGCAGCCACGCCGCGUGGAGGAAGACACCCCUAUGGGGCGUAAACUCCUUUUCUGCGAGAAGAACGCUCUGGUUACCAGGGUUUGACGGUAUCGCAGGAAUAAGCACCGGCUAACUCCGUG